rnacentral:rRNA from 1 species
UACGGAGGGGGCUAGCGUUGUUCGGAAUUACUGGGCGUAAAGCGCGCGUAGGCGGACCUGCAAGUCGGGGGUGAAAGCCCGAGGCUCAACCUCGGAACUGCCUUCGAUACUGUGGGGCUAGAGUCCGGAAGAGGCGAGUGGAAUUCCUGGUGUAGCGGUGGAAUGCGCAGAUAUCAGGAGGAACACCAAUAGCGAAGGCAGCUCGCUGGGACGGUACUGACGCUAAGGCGCGAAAGCGUGGGGAGCGAACAGG